rnacentral:rRNA from 1 species
UACGUAGGGUGCGAGCGUUAAUCGGAAUUACUGGGCGUAAAGCGUGCGCAGGCGGCGGCUCAAGUCAGGUGUGAAAUCCCCGGGCUUAACCUGGGAAUUGCGCUUGAAACUAGGUCGCUAGAGUGUGGCAGAGGGGGGUGGAAUUCCACGUGUAGCAGUGAGAUGCGUAGAGAUGUGGAGGAACACCGAUGGCGAAGGCAGCCCCCUGGGUCAACACUGACGCUCAUGCACGAAAGCGAGGGGAGCAAACAGG